rnacentral:rRNA from 1 species
AGCAGCCGCGGUAAUUCCAGCUCCAAUAGCGUAUAUUAAAGUUGCUGCAGUUAAAAAGCUCGUAGUUGAAUUUCGGGACUGAUAUGUCGGUCGUGCCUCGGUACGUACUGGUAUUUUUGGUUUCUCCCUUCUGACGAACCUUGAUGUCAUUAAUUUGGUGUCUUGGGAAAUCAGGACUGUUACUUUGAAAAAAUUAGAGUGUUUAAAGCAGGCUCACGCUUGAAUACAUUAGCAUGGAAUAAUGAAAUAGGACGUUUGAUUCUAUUUUGUUGGUUUCUAGGAUCGACGUAAUGAUUAAUAGGGAUAGUUGGGGGCAUUAGUAUUCAAUUGUCAGAGGUGAAAUUCUUGGAUUUAUUGAAGACUAACUACUGCGAAAGCAUUUGCCAAGGAUGUUUUCAUUAAUCAAGAACGAAAGUUAGGGGAUCGAAGACGAUCAGAUACCGUCGUAGUCUUAACCAUAAACUAUGCCGACUAGGGAUCGGAUGAUGUUAAUUUUUUAAUGACUCAUUCGGCGCCUUACG